rnacentral:rRNA from 1 species
UACAGAGGGGGCAAGCGUUGUUCGGAAUUACUGGGCGUAAAGGGCGCGUAGGCGGCCUUCUAAGUCGAACGUGAAAUCCCCGGGCUCAACCCGGGAACUGCGUCCGAUACUGGAAGGCUUGAAUCCGGAGAGGGAUGCGGAAUUCCAGGUGUAGCGGUGAAAUGCGUAGAUAUCUGGAGGAACACCGGUGGCGAAGGCGGCAUCCUGGACCGGCAUUGACGCGUGAGGC